GUGCCCGUAGCUUAAUUCGCAGAGCAGUGGGACGGUACCCCACGGUCCCGGGUUCAAGUCCCGGCGGUCGCU